ACCCGCUGAACUUAAGCAUAUCAAUAAGCGGAGGAAAAGAAACCAACAGGGAUUACCUCAGUAACGGCGAGUGAAGCGGUAACAGCUCAAAUUUGAAAUCUGCCUACAGGCCGAGUUGUAAUUUGUAGAAGAUGCUUCGGGUGUGGCUCCGGUCUAAGUUCAUUGGAACAUGACGUCAUAGAGGGUGAGAAUCCCGUAUGUGACUGGUUGCCUAUGCUCAUGUGAAGCUCUUUCAACGAGUCGAGUUGUUUGGGAAUGCAGCUCAAAAUGGGUGGUAUAUUUCAUCUAAAGCUAAAUAUUGGCCAGAGACCGAUAGCGCACAAGUAGAGUGAUCGAAAGAUGAAAAGCACUUUGGAAAGAGAGUUAAACAGUACGUGAAAUUGUUGAAAGGGAAGCGCUUGCAAUCAGACUUGCACGUUUUCGAUCAUCCGAUGUUCUCACCGGUGCACUCGAUUUCGUUCAGGCCAGCAUCGGUUUUGGUGGUUAGAUAAAGACUUUAGGAAUGUGGCUCUUUCGGGAGUGUUAUAGCCUAAGGUGUAAUGUAGCCUACCGGGACCGAGGACCGCGCUUCGGCUAGGAUGCUGGCGUAAUGGUUGUAAGCGACCCGUCUUGAAACACGG
rnacentral:rRNA from 1 species